UCGAACGAUGACGAAACAGCUUGCUGUUUCUGAUUAGUGGCGGACGGGUGAGUAAUGUAUAGGGAUCUGCCUGACAGUGGGGGACAACAGCCGGAAACGGCUGCUAAUACCGCAUACGCUCUACGGAGGAAAGUGGGGGACCUUUCGGGGCCUCACGCUGACAGAUGAACCUAUAUCAGAUUAGCUAGUUGGUGGGGUAAUGGCUUACCAAGGCGACGAUCUGUAGCUGGUCUGAGAGGAUGAUCAGCCACACUGGGACUGAGACACGGCCCAGACUCCUACGGGAGGCAGCAGUGGGGAAUAUUGGACAAUGGGGGCAACCCUGAUCCAGCAAUGCCGCGUGUGUGAAGAAGGCCUUCGGGUUGUAAAGCACUUUCAAUAGGGAGGAAAAGUUAUGCGUUAAUAGCGUAUAGCCGUGACGUUACCUAUAGAAGAAGCACCGGCUAACUCCGUGCCAGCAGCCGUGGUAAUACGGAGGGUGCAAGCGUUAAUCGGAAUUACUGGGCGUAAAGCGCGCGUAGGCGGUUUAUUAAGUCAGAUGUGAAAGCCCCGGGCUCAACCUGGGAAUUGCAUUUGAGACUGGUAGGCUAGAGUGUGGUAGAGGUGAGUGGAAUUUCAGGUGUAGCGGUGAAAUGCGUAGAGAUCUGAAGGAACAUCAGUGGCGAAGGCGACUCACUGGGCCAUUACUGACGCUGAGGUGCGAAAGCGUGGGUAGCAAACAGGAUUAGAU
rnacentral:rRNA from 1 species